rnacentral:rRNA from 1 species
CCGACGGUGAGGGAUGAAAGCUGGGGGAGCAAACCGGAUUAGAUACCCGGGUAGUCCCAGCUGUAAACGAUGCAAACUCGAUGAUGCGUUGGCUUGUUGCUAGCGCAGUGUCGCAGGGAAGCCGUUAAGUUUGCCGCCUGGGAAGUACGUACGCAAGUAUGAAACUUAAAGGAAUUGGCGGGGGAGCACCACAAGGGGUGAAGCCUGCGGUUCAAUUGGAGUCAACGCCUGAAACCUUACCCGGAGAGACAGCAGAAUGAAGGUCAAGCUGAAGACUUUACCAGACAAGCUGAGAGGUGGUGCAUGGCCGUCGCCAGCUCGUGCCGUGAGAUGUCCUGUUAAGUCAGGUAACGAGCGAGAUCCCUGCCUCUAGUUGCCACUAUUACACCCUGGUGUAGUAGGGCGAAUUAGGGGGACCGCCGCAGUUAAUGCGGAGGAAGGAAGGGGCUACGGCAGGUCAGUAUGCCCCGAAACUCUGGGGCCACACGCGGGCUGCAAUGGUAGCGACAAUGAGUCCCGAAAUCGAAAGAUAGAGGUAAUCCCUAAACGCUACCACAGUUGUGAUUGAGGGCUGCAACUCGCCCUCAUGAACAUGGAAUCCCUAGUAACCGCGUGUCAUUAUCGCGCAGUGAAUACGUCCCUGCUCCUUGCACUCACCGCCCGU